rnacentral:tRNA from 1 species
AGGGGUGUCGCCAAGCGGUAAGGCACUAGAUUUUGAUUCUAGCAUUCGUAAGUUCAAAUCUUGCCACCCCUG